UUUAGGUUAUUAUAAUUAAUAUAUUGAAUUGAUAUUUCAAAGAUCAACUAAUU
rnacentral:tRNA from 1 species